rnacentral:tRNA from 1 species
AUUUAAGUAGUUUAAGUAAAACAUUAAUUUGUGGAUUUAAAAAUAUAUUGAAGAGUAUCUUAAAUU